AGCCAUAUCACAUUGAAUCCCUGUUUCUCGUAUGAUCACUGAAGUUAAACAACAUCAAGCCUGGUCAGUACCUAGAUGGGUGACCACUUGGGAAUACCAGGUGUUAU